rnacentral:lncRNA from 1 species
UGCUAGUGAAAUGGGAAAAAUUCCCUUGUCCCCCUCACAGGGCAUGUGAUGGGGGUGUGGCUCGCUUCUUCAGUGCCUUGCGGCUCAAACCUCUAGGAGGAGUAUGCAGACCGGCAGGUUGUGGGGCUCCGACUCCACAACAGCGUCUGGGGUGAAUGUUUACAGCAGAAGCCCCAGUGGGUGUGUGCUGUAGGGUGCUCUUUCAGUUUAGCCGUCUGUAGGCAACUUGUGUUACACAGCUCAAUUAGACCCCCUGCCUUAUCGCAACGACAGAGGGCUUUCGGUAUCCCAGGGUUUCUUGCCUUGGUGUACCGGAAGAAUCAGAUCACACUUGGGCUUGGAGAAUGAGUGCAAGGUUUUAUUGAAUGGAAGUAGCUCUCAGAAGAUGGGAGAGCCAGAAGGGAGAUGGAAUGGGAAGGUGUUUUUUUCCUGGAGUCGGACUGCUCAGCAGCUGGACUCUCCUCCGACUGCCCAGGCCAAACUCCACAUCGUUCUGCAGGUUGAUGGCCUGCCGGCGUGCCCCAGCGUGCCGUUGUCUGCUGGUGCUUGUCAGUGUGCUCUUCCGCCAGUGUGUUCCUCUUGACAUCCAGCCACCUGUGAGUUCCUCCACCAAUGUGUUCCUCUCGACGUCCAGCGGCUUGUGUCUCUGCCUGCGAGGGUCUCAGAGUUUUUAUAGGUACAGGAUGGGGGCAUGAUGGGCCAGGGUGGUCUUGGGAAAUAUCAAAAUCGGUCAUGGGAAGAAGCAAAUGGGACAGAAUCCAGGAAAAGUUCCAAAUGCAGAGCUUCUGUGGUCUUCUCCCUGUAGAGUCAUGGACCAUGUUACUUUCCCUUCACUAAUGUAUGACAACACACACAAACUAUUACCAACGAGGGGAGCUCACCUGAGCCUUGGUGCCCAGAGUCCAUCUUGGG